UACGAAGGGGCUAGCGUUGUUCGGAAUUACUGGGCGUAAAGCGCACGUAGGCGGAUCGAUCAGUCAGGGUGAAAUCCCGGGGCUCAACCUCGGAACUGCCUUGAUACUGCAAAUCUCGAGUCCGGAAGAGGUGAGUGGAAUUCCUAGUGGUAGAGGUGAAAUUCGUAGAUAUUAGGAAGAACACCAGUGGCGAAGGCGGCUCACUGGUCCGGUACUGACGCUGAGGUGCGAAAGCGUGGGAGCAACAGGGAUUAAGAUACC
rnacentral:rRNA from 1 species